rnacentral:rRNA from 1 species
GCGACAAGGGUGUCGCCAGCUGAGGUAAUACGUGUGUUGCAUGCGUUGUCCGGAUUUAGUGGGGGUAAAGGGUUCGUUGUAGGUAGAUUAAGUUUGGUGUUAAAGACCGAAGCUUAACGUCGGCAGGGCAUCGGAAACGGGGUGGCUGGAGUCCGUCAGAGGUAACUGGAAUUCCUGGUGUAGCGGUGAAAUGCGUAGAUAUCAGGAGGAACACCCGUGGCGAAAGCGAGUUACUGGGGCGGUACUGACACUGAGGAACGAAAGCCUGGGGAGCGAAAGGGAUUAGAUACCCUGGUAGUC